rnacentral:rRNA from 1 species
GUCACGCCCUAAACGAUGAUCACUGGUGUUCGGGAGCGAUCUCUGAGUACCGAAGCUAACGCGUGAAGUGAUCCGCCUGGGGAGUACGGUCGCAAGAUUAAACUCAAAGGAAUUGACGGGGACCCGCACAAGCGGUGGAUGAUGUGGAUUAAUUCGAUGCAACGCGAACAACCUUACCUACCCUUGACAUGUCCGGAAGGCCGCCGAGAGGUGGUUGUGCCCCGAAAGGGACCGGACACAGGUGCUGCAUGGCUGUCGU